UCCUGGUUAACCCAGGCAGUCUCGUUAGAGUUCCCGCCAUUACGCGUUGGCAACUAACGAUAAGGGUUGCGCUCGUUGCUGGACUUAACCAAACACCUCACGGCACGAGCUGACGACAGCCAUGCAGCACCUAUAUAAAAGCCCUUACGGGAAACAACAUCUCUGUUGUCGUCCUCUAUAUUUCGAGCCCAGGUAAGGUUCUUCGCGUUGCAUCGAAUUAAACCACAUGCUCCACUGCUUGUGCGGGCCCCCGUCAAUUCUUUUGAGUUUCACCCUUGCGAGCGUACUCCCCAGGCGGUAUACUUAAUGCGUUAGCUCCGGAACAGAGGGGGUUGAGCCCUCCUACUCCUAGUAUACAUCGUUUAAGGCAUGGACUAC
rnacentral:misc_RNA from 1 species